AUGAGUUGCUAUUGUGUUAUGUAAAUAGUUCCAGUGACAUCUAGAGUGGUUUUCCCUAAAUCAAUUCUUUUUUUCUGAGUGUGGUUAUUUGUUUUUUUGAAAUCUCGUCUGCUGUCGAAUCAGUUUGAUUUGAUUUGUUAUUGUAGGAUUGAAGUCAAUACAUUUGGGAUUCUUGACGUAACGCAGUAGGAUAAAGCCAGUAAUAACAUCCUGUGUCGAUUCAAUUUCCAAAACUUGUCAAUUGAAAAAUUUGCAUUCGAUUUCAAAGUGGAGGGGGACAGCUAUUGGCUAUUGCAAAUAGACAAGAGAGGCAAUUCGGCCAACUUUUGUGUGCUCAUAAAUGGGACAUUCGAGAUCGGGAAAACAAGUGAUACGCAACCGAAUGACGUGAAUGCCAAGAAUAAAUGUCAACGUCGACAGCCCGGAAGAAUCUACACGAAGAGUUUACUCAGGUGCAGAUAUACAAUUCCAGAGUGUGGCCACUAAACGCUGAUCCUCUUACAUGCUGGGUGACCAGCGCGAUCGAAGAAUGUUAAUCUUACAAACU